AGAGUUUGAUCAUGGCUCAGAGCGAACGCUGGCGGCAGGCCUAACACAUGCAAGUCGAACGGGCCCUUUCGGGGGUCAGUGGCAGACGGGUGAGUAACGCGUGGGAACGUGCCCAUCGGUUCGGGAUAACCCAGGGAAACUUGGGCUAAUACCGGAUACGCCCUUUUGGGGAAAGAUUCAUUGCCGAUGGAUCGGCCCGCGUCUGAUUAGCUAGUUGGUGAGGUAACGGCUCACCAAGGCGACGAUCAGUAGCUGGUCUGAGAGGAUGAUCAGCCACACUGGGACUGAGACACGGCCCAGACUCCUACGGGAGGCAGCAGUGGGGAAUAUUGGACAAUGGGCGCAAGCCUGAUCCAGCCAUGCCGCGUGAGUGAUGAAGGCCCUAGGGUUGUAAAGCUCUUUCGUCCGGGACGAUAAUGACGGUACCGGAAGAAGAAGCCCCGGCUAACUUCGUGCCAGCAGCCGCGGUAAUACGAAGGGGGCUAGCGUUGUUCGGAAUCACUGGGCGUAAAGGGCGCGUAGGCGGCUUUGUAAGUCGGGGGUGAAAGCCUGUGGCUCAACCACAGAAUUGCCUUCGAUACUGCAUGGCUUGAGACCGGAAGAGGUUAGUGGAACUGCGAGUGUAGAGGUGAAAUUCGUAGAUAUUCGCAAGAACACCAGUGGCGAAGGCGGCUGACUGGUCCGGUUCUGACGCUGAGGCGCGAAAGCGUGGGGAGCAAACAGGAUUAGAUACCCCCGUAGUCC
rnacentral:rRNA from 1 species